ensembl:lncRNA
AUCCUCGGAUUUGUGUUUUGUCAUCAGCAACUCCUGCAAGAAGAAGUGAGGGCCCAGCUGGUGGCAGAAGUGGUCCCUGAGGAGGCAGUGCCAGCAAACACUGCUCGCCAGCACCCAAAGCCAAGGCUUCUGAAGCAACGUGGGUGCGAUUUUGGCAGCGAGAAUUGUUUGCUGCCAUCCUCAAGAGAAGAUAUUGUGGUGGAAGGGGAGAAUGAACUAACAUAUUCUAAACCAUUCCUUAGCCUCUUAGCUUCAUGUCACGAUCUCAGAAAAUCUCUGAGAUCUCUAUUACUUGGCCUACAUGUUCGACUGUUGCUUGGAGAGGAACAGAUUGGCACAUACAAAGACAGACAAUGCAAUUGCUCAAGACUAGUUAGUUUCCUUAGGAAGUUCGGUGAAAAAGAUCCUUCCCAAGAAUUACAGAUGAGUCCUACCAAAGAAAUGUUAUUACCUUGCAGCCAAAAAUGCUGCAAGAGUUUGGGGCCCUUGUGGUCUGAGUUAAGAGAUGACCAGUUGAAGCAGAUGGACAGGCCGGGGAGCUCAGCUGAACGAUCAGACAAUUUCAAGCUUAGUCAGCUCAAGCAAUGCCAACAGGCACUUGAACGACUUUUUGUCCUAUGGCUACGCUGCUUGCCAGCUAAUGAGGCUUGGAAGGCAUCUACCCCACGUCUCUGCUAGGGUCAGAAAGUUUUAGGUCAGCUUGUUCAGGCAUGAACUGGAACGGAGAGGACAUUUCACUCUGUUGGAUGGAUGCCCCAGCUCAGCUUCCCUGUAUUGAGUUGCAUUUUGGAGAGCACAUCCCUGCUGCAAUCUGGUAGUGGCUGUGGAAGUUACACUUCAAGUAGCUUUAUUCUGAAGAGGAAUAUCGGUGCAAUGUAAGGAGAUUAAGGUCGGAGCCCAGGCUGUAAAGUGGACCAGAAAAUUUGGCAGAUAUACUGCAAAGUAGAAUCCCAACAAGUUUGAUUCAGUCACAGGUCUGCUCAACUUGAGCUGCAAUCCUGUCUUUAGAUGCAGAGCAGCUGUAUCCUCAGAGAGGUAGGAUUUCCAUGCCAUGACAACUGUGCUGCAUAAAGUGCCACCUCUGAGUCUGAUGGCUGAAACAAAGAAGAGAGAAGCACCAAACUGCUCUAGGCCAUAUAGCUAUCAGAUGGAACAAGGAAGCCAAAGACCACGAAAACAUGCCUUAUGGUGACAACUGCCCCAGUGAAGAGUCUCCCUAAAGAAACAAGAAAAAAUGCACUGUUUUUUUAGUGUAUUAUUAACACAAUGGAGAUGAGACCUGGAGUGAAGACUAUCUGGCACAACAGACUAGAGAGGUAAUUCUAAUUGGCCUCCACUGUUUCUUGUUUCUACACUCUCAGCUGGUUAACGUGUUUCUAAAGCACCUGUGAUUGUCAUAUGUAGCCAGCUGUUGCAAACUUCAGUGAUUUUAGUGUAUCAUAGGAAGAUAGGAACAGACAACCCAUGUCAGACUGGGUUCCUCUUUUCCAUAACACCAUUGCUGACAGCAGCUAAUAGCAGAUGUCAAGGGGAAAGAUUAUGAACAGGGUGAAUAGGGAGUGUUUCAUUCUUCCUACAGUCCGCAGCUUCAGGACUUCCAGAGCUGGAGGUGAGGGUUUUCUGCUUAAAUAGCUGUCAGUGCUUUUUUUCUGGCUGCUCUUUGCCUUUGAGAUCCUGAUUCAGUGCAGUGAGGGACCACUGCAGUGAUUAACUGGCCUAUGAAUAUUACCUCAUAUCAAAAAAUAACAAGGUUUCUGGUUGUAUCUCAUAUUGAAUAAAUUUACCUCUAUGUUGCCUACA